GCAGUUUAGAAAGAUCACUUGGAUUGGAGUAUGGAGAGAAGUUGAAAAGGGAAUUCAGGAAUAAAGACAAUUAGAAAUGAGAAAUGGAAGAACCUGAGCUAGGGUAUGGUUAGCAGUUCUUCCCAUGCCUGAGGAUGACCAAUUGCAGUUGCUGCUACUACCGGGCCAGUCCUCAGGAGGCCCAAUCCUGGGAAUGUUUCUGCUUUCUGUCUCUUUAUUUCUUAGGAGGCAUUCCAAUGAUGUGAUUCGAGGAUUAAAUUUCAGAGAUACAAACUUGAAUGAUGGGAAUAACGAUUACAAGAAAAACUGGAAGCUCCACAGAACAGGAACGUUGCCUGUCUUUGGAGCAGACUCUGCUGGUGCCCCUGACAUAUCCCCUGUUGCCAUAGAUACCAGCAGCUUCUCACUGCGAGCAUCUGCAAUGUCCUCAAGCAUGCUCGUGAGGCAGG
rnacentral:lncRNA from 1 species